rnacentral:tRNA from 2 species
ACCAGGAUGGCCGAGUGGUAUAAGGCGUUGGACUUAAGUUCCAAUGUACGGAUGUACGCGUGGGUUCGAACCCCACUCCUGGUA